GUCCAGACUCCUACGGGAGGCAGCAGUGGGGGAUAUUGCACAAUGGGGGAAACCCUGAUGCAGCGACGCCGCGUGGGUGAAGAAGCGCCUCGGCGCGUAAAGCCCUGUCAGCAGGGAAGAAAAUGACGGUACCUGAAGAAGAAGCCCCGGCUAACUACGUGCCAGCAGCCGCGGUAAUACGUAGGGGGCAAGCGUUAUCCGGAUUUACUGGGUGUAAAGGGGGCGCAGACGGCGAUGCAAGCCAGGAGUGAAAGCCCGGGGCCCAACCCCGGGACUGCUUUGGAAACUGUGUAACUGGAGUACAGGAGGGGCAGGCGGAAUUCCUGGUGUAGCGGUGAAAUGCGUAGAUAUCAGGAGGAACACCGGCGGCGAAGGCGGCCUGCUGGACUGAAACUGACGUUGAGGCUCGAAAGCGUGGGGAGCAAACAGGAUUAGAUACCCUGGUA
rnacentral:rRNA from 1 species